AAACAGCAUGGUAACUGACGACAUUUGUGGAAUUAACCACAAGGGAGCUAUGCUUUUAUAGAGUCGGGUCGUCUGGGCAGAGAUA
rnacentral:ncRNA from 2 species